AUGAAGUGGAAACUUGCAUCGGGGGUGCUGUGUGAUAAGAAGGUGCCGCCCAAGCUUAAAGGUAAAUUCUAUAGGGUGGUAGUCCGUCCGGCCUUGCUGUAUGGAGCGGAGUGUUGGCCAGUUAAGAACUCCCACACCCAAAGAAUGAAGGUGGCAGAAAUGCGGAUGUUGCGCUGGAUGUGUGGACUGACCCGAAGGGAUAGAGCUCGGAAUGAGACUAUCCGGGAGAAGGUUGGGGUGACUUCAGUGGAGUGUAAGAUGCGGGAAGCACGAUUGAGAUGGUUCGGACACGUGAAGAGGAGGGGCAUGGAUGCCCCGGUCCGUAGGUGUGAGAGGCUAGCGUUGGAUGGUUUUAGACGGGGUAGGGGUAGACCGAAGAAGUACUGGGGUGAGGUGAUUAGGCGGGACAUGGAACAGUUACAGCUUACCGAGGACAUGACCCUAGAUAGGAAGGUCUGGAAGACGCGAAUUACGGCAGAGGAUUAGGGCCUGUUCGGGUCGCUAAUGUAGGGAGGUAAUUGGUGGGGGUGUAUUCCUGGUAUGAUUCCGUAUUCAAUGUUCUGUUCCGUGUUCCGUGUUCUAUGUUUGUUACGAAUCUGUGUGCUUUCCUCUGCUUUAUAUUCCUGCAUCCCUGCUUUACUCUGUUUUAUAUUCCUUAUGGCUGCAGUAUCUAUGUUAUGUCAUCUGCUUCUGUGCUGUACUAUGUGUUUGUUUGAUAUCUCGUAACUUGAGCCGGGGGUCUUUCGGAAACAGCCUUUCUACUUCAUCAGAGGUAGAGGUAUGGACUGCGUACAUCUUACCCCCCCAGACCCCACUAAGUGGGAAUACACUGGGUUUGUUGUUGUUGUUGUUGUUGUAUAAAUAUUUUGUUUUUGCAUUAGACAGGCAGUUGGCAGAAGCAGGAGCACAUGUGGUUCUGGCUGUCAGAAGCACAAAUCGUGCACAGGAAUUAAUUCGGAAAUGGCAGGAAGAUUGGUCUGGCAAGGGCCUUCCACUCAACAUUGAGGUAUGUUGUCUUUCAUUUCAGAGCAGUACCAAGUAUGGUUAGGAAGUAGUACUGUUGUAUGCUAGUUUAUUACAAGUGUUCAAGUUUCAAGAAUAUUUUUAAGUUAGUAUUUAUAAAUCUCGUUCAAUGUCAUGAGAAUAUUGUCCUAAAUGGUUCUGUUGCAAGGGCAUGGAGCUUGAUCUUCUCUCUUUGGAUUCUGUUGCAUGAUUCGCAGAAGCAUGGACUGUCCGCAUGGCACCAUUACAUGUUCUCAUCAAUAAUGCUGGCAUAUUUUCGAUUGGAGGUUAGUGUGGAAUUAGAUUCUUCUUGUUAAUUGAUAUUAACCAAAAUGUCCAAUCUUUUUGUGCGAUAUUUUAGCUUUGAUACCUCAAGACAAAAGGUUUCAGCUACAUCAUAAAGCCUUUUGUACUUAAAGAUGAAAAAUAAAAGCCUGCCGUUUCUUACUUGAUAUCCAAUUUUAAUCUGUCAAAUGGCAUAGUGUUGCAUCUUUAAGUGUUUUCAUCAUGUGGUCAAGUUUUCUGUUUGUCUCCUUAGUUUUAAAGUGUUUGGUAUAUGUGGAGCUUUAUAGAAACAUAUGUUUCCAUGUAACUAAGCCUCUGAAAAUCAAGGCAUUAAAUCUUUAAAUGUGAUAAGUUAGUGUAUAUGUCAAAUCAUUUAAGAGAAGAGUUAGCGUUUAUGUCAGAUGCAUGCAACACCAAGCACAUCAGUGAUUGAUUUUUAUUCUACAUGGUUGUAGAAUUUUUCCAGAGUUGAGACUUGAGAUGAUGGUGAAUCUUAAAUGGUUUAUCACCAGCUUCAGACAGGUCGUAAAUUAUGGAAUUCACUAGGGCUCGAAUCUUUAAUGGUCUGUCACCAGUUUCAGACAGGUCAUAAAUUAUGGAAUUCACUAGGGCUACCUGGUAAAUGUGAAAGAUGAUUUAUGAUUUAUGUCAAAUAAGAACUUCAACAAAGUUUUAAGAUUUCCACUUUUUGGUAUUGUUCUUGUAUGCGCGGGCGGGGGGGGGGUUUAUGCCCUUUCUUAUAAAAUUCUAUUACUUGAUCAGUGUGAGAAAUUGUAUUUACUUUGUUACUUGCUUGAUAUGGAUAAAAUGAAGGAUAUCUCAUGUCUGAUUCUGAAGUGGAAGGCAUGUAACAGAAACACAUGGGUCUUUAACUGGAUAAUCACCUACUCAUGCUUACAUCUUAUGUGUUCAGUUCAAGCAUGAUUUAUAGUGUUGGUGCUUUUUCCUCUUUGGCUUGCAUCAUCACGUUUUCCUUUGGUAUUGCACUAAUGCUGGGCUAGUGUGGGUGCAUUUAGCAGUUUACACAGGCACAAUUCAUGGUGUGUGCAAUAGAAAUAUUGGUACAACUUUUUAUCCGUUUUCUCCUUUAGAUUGAAUCGGAAUGAUUGAUAGCUGAGCGAGUGCACAUGCUUUAAUCUGGAAACCUGUGAGACUUUGCUUCUGUGCUGUCUAACUUAAGCCAAUGAAUUGUGUUGUUUUCUACAGAACCACAGAAGUUUUCAAAAGAUGGGUAUGAAGAACACAUGCAAGUGAAUCAUCUAGCUCCGGCUAUGCUUUCCAUAUUGCUUUUACCAUCACUUAUUAGAGGUUCUCCAAGCCGAAUUGUUAAUGUGAACUCUACUGUAAGUCUAGCAAUAUGCCCUCACUACAGAUGGAUAUGUUAUAUACUCAGUUGUUUUUCCCACUUUCGGCAUUCAGUUACUGCUUUAAAUGAUCCCCUUUUUUCCAUGAUAUGGAUACUUUAAAAUAAGUUGCAAACUGAAGUAUCAGCAUUGGUGAAAAUGUUUUAUCUAGUAUGCAUUAAUUUGAAAUAGUAUAAACCAUAAGCUUGGUCAAAGCAAUGAUAUACAGCAAUUUGGGGGUGAUUCAGCAUAGAAUUCAUUAUUUCAGCCCUUUCCUUUUGGAAGCCUUUGCUUUUCUCAUGAACAGCCCGAGCAGAAAAGGUAUUUUACUGCUUGGGAAAUUGAAGUUGUCUGUCCUACAUCUUUGUCCUUUAAGAUUCAUGGUGUACGUGUUAAUAAUAUAUAAGGGAAAAAAAAUUACAUACUAUUAGGACUUGGAAGGGGAGCCUUGGAGUAACUCGUAAAGUUGCUACCAUGUGACCAGGAGGUCAUGGGUUCAAGCCGUGGAAACAGCCUCUGGCAGAAAUACAAGGUAAGAUUGCAUACAAUAGACCCUUGUAGUCUGGCCCUUCCCUGGACCCACUUAUGGCGGGAGUUUUUGUGCACUGGACUAUCCUUUAUACUAUUAGGACCUGCUGGUCUUUGCUGCAUAAUGGCACGAGUAGGUGGAUUAAGAGUAAUUUUGACUUGAAGUUUCAAUAACUGUGGGAUACCCUUAAAGUUUAUCGGCUUGAACUUUUCCUUUUGGCCAAUUUCUUUGGGGCGUCAAUUAUUGUUUGAUUUACGCAUCCCAUUUGACUGUGGAUUUGGUAAUGCUAUGCCUCUAAGAUGAUGUAUCCAUAUUUGCAUCGUGAUUCUCUUAGGUUAAUAUGCUUGUUGGUACUUGCCUUUCUUUAUUCUCUUAAAUCGAAUUUAAACUAUUGAUUGUUUCUAGCUCUUUGGUCAGGCUUUGUCUUAAUCUUGCUUUAACUUAAAACAUGUUGGUCCAUUUUAGGUCUAGUGACUUACUGUUGGUUUUAUGACUUAACUCAUUAUAUUGUAUAUGGGAAAGGUAAAAGCAGACAUGGUAGCUAAUAAAUCCUACAAUUAUACCAGAUUUGGGGUUGAAAGUGAAUUAAAAGGACGAAGAUGUUGUUGAGACACUUCUCCAACAAAACCAAGUCUUGAAGUUUGAAGAGGGGUGGAGGUAGUUUCCGGGAAAUAAAUUUAUCUCGUAAUUUAAAUGAUAGCAUCAACUGCUGUUUAUGGCUAAUGUGCGGCUGCUGACAGGAAUAUAGCUUAUUUCAUCCGUGUAGAUGCACUAUGUUGGGUUUGUCGAUCCAGAAGAUAUGAAUGUUGUAUCUGGAAAGCGAAAGUACACCAGUGUAGUGGGAUAUGGAGGCAGCAAGCUUGCUCAAGUAUUUUCUAGAAGGUUUUUAGCUAUUCUUGAUUAGACCUUCAUAAAGUUGCUGCAGAACAUAUUAUUUUUAAAAAGCUAUAAUAUCUUUUACUUACUAUUUAUUUAAUCAUAUAAUUAAAAGAGAUAUGUUCUUUAUUUAGUAAAUCUUAUUAUUUUUACAGAGGUAUUAAACAAUUCUUUUGUUUCCUCGUAGCUAAAACUAGUACUCACUUUACUUGUUGCAAAAACUUAACUUUUUAUGGAAGCACCUUGUAUAUCAUGCUGUGGAUGUCUUCCAGAAUUCCUAUCUACGCCAUGCUGUAGUUUGUACUGAUUUCACUGAGGUAUAUAUUGUCUAAUUAUCUUUUAAGUUAGAGAAAAUUGAUUGACAAUCCAAACUAUACUUUGAUACCUUUACUAAAUAGGCCUUGAAGUAUUUUGUUUCAUUUUCACUUUGGAGUGUUUUCUUCUAAUUAACAGUCGAAUGUGAUACUCCAACAUGUGUUAGAUGGUUUGAUGGAUUUGUCGAUAGGCAAAUUUUUGUUAAGAGGGCCCUUAAGUUGCUUACAUCUUGUGUUGGAAUCUAGCAAUUUAUGCUGAUCUUUUUAUCAAGUGAAAUGUCAUUUUAUUUAUGAAUAAUUAGCGGAAAUGCUCCCGUAUACAAGAGGUAUACAAAAGAAGUAGAGAAUGUACAAAAAUAUGGUUUUCUACGAAAACCCCCGACAUCUAUGCAAAUAGGAACCUCGUAGGUACACUAAAAAGGCAGACAGGAUUUUAAACAAAGAAAGCAGCCCCGUGCGCGAAGCAUCCCGCUUUCAUGCCUGGUUCAAGAAAGGAUCCAAUGAGGUGUGAUUUUGGCCUCCUUUCUUGAUGCAAGGAUCAGUGGCUGAUUUCACAAUUGGAACCUAUGACACAUAGGUUUCAUCGAGACAACUUUUCUAUUGCUCCAAGGGAUCCUUCCUAAAAAAGACUAUUAGGAUAAACAGUAAAAAAGACACUCGGAAUAUUCCCCAAAAGUACAAAAUACCGCUCGUCCCAUGCAGAAGCUCUCCCAUUUCCUCUGAAUUUAUGCUGAUGGAAAUACUAUUAGAGAUUGCUUGACCAUUAUCAUUCCUGUAGUUAUUACAUCUAUUAGGCAUAAGGUGAUUAAAAAGUGGACUCGCUCUGGUCAAGAUCAUCUUGAGUUAGUGAUAGAAACCCAAUUUGAAUAUGUUGCAUGGGACCUAUCAAAGAGUUAGCAGAAACAAGAAAUCAUUAUUUUUGGUAAUUAGGGAUGCCAACAUCCAUAGGCAUGUCUUUGAUACUUUGUUGGGUGUCCAUUAAGAGCUAUUACUGUAAUCUCUUAAGUCCACAGGUUGAUCCAAAUAUCUGUAGGUAGAUGUUCAUCUGCUUGUCGAAAAUGCGCAAAUUCUUCUAGAAAGUACUCACGUGACCCUAAAUAGGAAGUUGUGGAGGAGGCGGAUUAGGGUAGAAGGUUAGUAUGAGUUUAGGAUGUUGUAUCAUUUGUUGUAUUACUUGGCGUAUGUUGUAUAUGGUAUUAUUGGAUGUGUUGGUUUCUAUUGUAUCUUGUCCUUUUACUAUUUCUUGUCUAGAUUGUUUUAUUUUGAGCCGGAGGUCUAUUGGAAACAACCUCUCUAUCUCACAUUUGAGGCAGUGGUAUGGACUGCGUACGCCUUACCCACACAGACCCCACUUGGUGGGAGUAUACUAGGUAUGUUGUUGUUGUUGUUGUUCUAAUCUUCACCGCAUUAAUAAACUGGGGAGCCUCUGCACAUGUUACAUCAGCAGUAAACAACCAGGCAAGGGACAUUAAAGAAAAAGAUCAGGAAUUGAACAUAUUGUAUGUAGCUUCUUAUUAGUUAUAAUUUCAGGCAUAAAAUCAUCUAAGAUUUCUGAUAGUUAGAAGUGAACUUCGGAUGCUAAGCUCUUAUUCUUUCUUCUUAGUAUGUGCUUCCUGUUUGAGUUCUAAAAAGUAUCCGGCUUUUUUGCUUUUGCUCUCCAUGGACUAAUCCAUGUGGUUCGGAAGUGCAGAUUAUGUUCAGUAGCGUCCUUCAUAAGAGGCUACCUGCUGAAACUGGCAUUAGUGUGGUAUGUAAUACUCCUGGAAUUGUUCUAACCAAUGUGGUAAGUUCUUAACAACUUAAGCUAAUUGUUUCUCUAGUUACCAUCUUUUAUAUUAUUAUCAUGCGUCAUGCCUUGUCUUGAUGUAUCCGUGUCAAAUGUGUGUGAUAUGGGUGAGGUACUUUGUGUCCUUUUUUCAAAUUAAUUUUGUCCAAGUCCUUCAAUAUAAACUAAAGAAUAUUAAAAAGGUAGAUGUGCUUAAUACAGAUACAAAUGUAAAUGAUUCCAUCUGAAAAACUUCCAGCUUCCAUUAUUUAAUGCACAUAUAUUUGUUCGACUUAUGUUACCUUUCUCAAAAAAAAAAAUAUAUAUAUUUAUUCGACUUGAACAGCCUCACAUAAAUACAUUUUAAAGAUUCUUUAUAAGAGGUUCUGGUCCCAAUUGGCCUUGGUCUUUCACUAAUCAGCCUUAACAUGCUCAAUAAAUACCAAAAAAGGUCAACUAAGAUGAUGUCACAUGUUGCUUCAUGUUGUUUCUGUGCCUCCAUCUUUAUUUAUACUACUACUCCCUCUGUCCCAAUUUAUGUAUCACUUUUUGCUUUUUGAGAUUCAAACUAAGUAAGCUUUGACCAACAUCUUAAGAAUUCAUUUUUUAUCAUAUUGACAUGAGAAGAAUUGCAAUUUAUAGUACUUCUCGUAUAGUUUUUGAAUGUCUAAAUUUUAGCUUUUAAAAUAUUGAGUAGAUCUAAUCUAAUUUAGUUUCAAAGAUCAGUCAAAUUGACUCUCGGAAAGUGAAAAGUGCCACAUAAAUUGGGAUGGAGGGAGUAAUUAAUUUCCAAUCCGAAAAGAAUGACUAGUAUAAUCUAGAAAAGGAAGUCUUGAACCCAAAAAUAUUUAUCUACAUAUAGCAUGAUAUGUAAUGCGCCUAACGAUGAAAAUAUACUUGCUCUUACUACCCAAUUGAAACAUGUAGAUGUCUGGAAGUUUGUAAAUGACCUCAAAAAUGUUCUUGGUACAGUACGCCAAGGCCCCAGGAUGUAUAGACUUUACAAUUAUUUUAAGGCUAAGUUCUUGAUUCUGUGAAGAUAUAACAAUUUAGGGCUUUUUAAUUUGUAGUUGUUUUGUACUGACCAACCUUGAGGCUUCUUGAUCUUCAAGUUUGAAUACUAAGCCAGUGGAAAAUUGUUAUGUUGGAUCACUUCAUAACACAAUACCAAUAUGCAUCUGAGAAAUCCAUGGUAUGUAAGGAACUACAGGAGUAUUGCUCUUGUUUCAUGUGUUGUUCAUAAAAAAACUCUUGCUUCGUGCAUUGUUAUAACUACACCGUAAACUUUUUUUAUGGGCACCUAUAGUGAAAUAAAACUAAUACCGUCUUAGUCCUCUGCUUUAGGGGAGCGUAUAUUCUUUGAAACAUGAUGGGGUAUUGUUAGGCAUGUAAAAGCUCUUUUAUCAAAUUUGUGUCAUGCAUAUCAAAAUCAUAUUUCAUUCAGACUGGAUAAUCUGAUCGUGAGAAUCAUUUGAAUGGUUAAAUUUACCACAACUCUGAUAUUUAAAAUGCAACAAUCCAUCUUCUAUGGAUUGUUUUCCUAAACUAUUGUUUCAAGUUCAUCCCAGUAACUGGGUCAUGUAAUUGUUCCCCUAUGCUAGACUGCUAAAUCCUCUCAUCUCAUGCAUCUUGGACCUACUUGAGAGUAACUGUCCUAUGUUUGAAUCAGAUCCAAGCCUUAAUAUGCAAAUGUAAUAUUGCAAAAUAUGUUUGAGCUAGAGUUCUAAAUUUUUGGAUGUGUGGAUUCCCACAUUCAACGAUUGAAGAUGGCGGGAAAUGAGAAUGUUGUGUUGGAUGUGUGGACUUACUAGAGGGGAUAGACUUAGGAAUGAGACUAUCAGGGAGAAGAUGGGAGUGGCUUCGGUGGAGGACAAAUUGCGAGAAGAAGGCUGAGAUGGUUAGGGCAUGUGAUGAGGAGGGGCAUGGAUGCCCCAGUUCGUAGGUGUGAGAGGUUAGCGUUGUAGGACUUUAGAAGGAGUAGAGGUAGGCCAAAAAGAUACUGGAGGGAGGUGAUUAGACAUGACAUGGAACAGCUUCAGCUUAUUGAGGACAUGACCCUAGAUAGGAAGGUGUGGAGGUCGCGGAUAAGGGUAGAAGGCUAGUGUGAGUGUGUGGGUUGUAACAAGGUGUUAGGAGAGCUCUUGUGUAGUCGGGUUAGUAAGCAUAGGACUGUGUCCAUUAGUAGGAGCCUUUAGUCAGUAGAGUUUGUGUGUGCCGGGGGGUGGGGGAGGGAGUGUGUUUGGUCUUUGUGUGUAUGUUGCUACAAGGUGGGUGUCCUAUCGCUUACUUAUUUCGAAUUACUCGUAUUUCUCUUAUUUCGUAUUUCUACGGUAUCUAUUUUAUUAUUGCUUAUUCCUUAUUUAUGUUAUGUCAUCCAUCCUGCUUCAUGUUUCACUACGGCUUUGUGUACUAUUCUCUAGCCUGAGAUGAGGGUCUACCGGAAACAACCUCUCUACUUCUUCGGAGGUAGUGGUAUGGACUGCGUACAUUUUACCUUCCCCAGACCUCACUUUGUGGGAAUACACUGGGUCUGUUGUUGUUGUUGAUUUUCUUCCUUUCAGUUUUCAUUCUUUUCAUUCAUUUAUAUGAUACUAUUUUAGAAGUUUGCACUUACAAAAAUUGCAGGCGA
rnacentral:lncRNA from 1 species